rnacentral:rRNA from 1 species
CCUACGGGUGGCAGCAGUGAGGAAUAUUGGUCAAUGGACGAGAGUCUGAACCAGCCAAGUAGCGUGAAGGAUGACUGCCCUAUGGGUUGUAAACUUCUUUUAUAAAGGAGUAAAACGAGGCAAGUGUGCCUUUUUGCAUGUACUUUAUGAAUAAGGAUCGGCUAACUCCGUGCCAGCAGCCGCGGUAAUACGGAGGAGCCGAGCGUUAUCCGGAUUUAUUGGGUUUAAAGGGAGCGUAGAGGGGUUGUUAAGUCCGUGGUGAAAGUUUUCGGCUCAACCGUAAAAUUGCAAUUGAUACUGGCAGUCUUGCGUACAGUUGCGCUAGUCGGAAUUCGUUGUGUAGCGG